CAUUCAGGUGGGUCUUUAAGUCAGUUGUUAAAUAUUACGGCUUAACCGUAUUAUGCAAUUGAUACUGGAGAUCUUGAGUUUGAGAGGGGACAGUGGAAUACCUAGUGUAGCGGUGGAAUGCGUAGAUAUUAGGUAGAACACCGGCGGCGAAGGCGACUGUCUGACUCAUAACUGACACUGAAGUGCGAAAGCAUGGGUAGCAAACAGGAUUAGAUACCCUGGUAGUCC
rnacentral:rRNA from 1 species